rnacentral:rRNA from 11 species
AAAACUUUCAACAACGGAUCUCUUGGUUCCGGCAUCGAUGAAGAACGCAGCGAAAUGCGAUACGUAAUGUGAAUUGCAAAUUCAGUGAAUCAUCGAGUCUUUGAACGCACAUUGCGCCCCCUGGUAUUCCGGGGGGCAUGCCUGUCCGAGCGUCAUUG